rnacentral:snoRNA from 1 species
UGCGUGCCUUUGAGCCCCUCGCCGCGCCUGCGGUGGCGCGGGGGUCAGGCUGCAGGAGCACAGCAAGCACGCCGCGCGCAAUAAAA